rnacentral:rRNA from 1 species
UACGUAGGGGGCAAGCGUUGUCCGGAAUUAUUGGGCGUAAAGAGCGUGUAGGCGGCCAGAUAAGUCCGCUGUGAAAUCUCGAGGCUCAACUUCGAGCUGUCGGUGGAAACUAUCUGGCUAGAGUCCGGAAGAGGAGAAUGGAAUUCCUGGUGUAGCGGUGAAAUGCGCAGAUAUCAGGAAGAACACCCGUGGCGAAGGCGGUUCUCUGGGACGGUACUGACGCUCAUGCACGAAAGCGUGGGGAGCAAACAGG